CUGACCUUACACUGUGGGACAGGGUAUGGAGAAGUGGCUGGGCCAACAGACCAGCAAGGAGGGGUGGGCGUGCAAAUGGCUUCUUGCAGGGUAGCCACCACCAAGCCAACUUCCUGGAAACCUGCCAUCUGCCAGGUGCCUUAGUCUCCUGACUGUAGAGAGCACAUGACAAUUCUACAAUUAGAACUACCACCACUGCUUCUGAUAUGACUACUGUGUCACCUGCAGAACCUGCCUUGAAGAUUAGACCCCAUGGAACUGCCUGAGCAAAGGGCCAUCUGGAGGCACUGCCCAUCUCACACCAGGGCCUCAAGACCCCCUAGAGCUCCCUUAAAUGACCAAGUUCUGUUUAUCAAAUUGGGAUGCUUUAGGAAGCUAUCCAAGAAUUGUAAAAACAAGCUACUUCUGGCUGUCCCUUCAGUGUCCCUUAGAGUAGCAGUUUUCAAACUGUGUUCCAAGAAACCCUGCAUUGAA